rnacentral:rRNA from 1 species
CACGUAGGGCGCAAGCGUUGUCCGGAAUUAUUGGGCGUAAAGAGCUCGUAGGCGGUCUGUUGCGUCCGCUGUGAAAACUCGGGGCUUAACCCCGAGCCUGCAGUGGAUACGGGCAGACUAGAGUGCGGUAGGGGAGAUUGGAAUUCCUGGUGUAGCGGUGGAAUGCGCAGAUAUCGGGAAGAACACCCGUGGCGAAGGCGGCUCUCUGGGACGGUACUGACGCUGAGACGCGAAAGCGUGGGGAGCGAACAGG